rnacentral:rRNA from 1 species
UACGGAGGGUGCAAGCGUUAUCCGGAUUCACUGGGUUUAAAGGGUGCGUAGGUGGGCAGGUAAGUCAGUGGUGAAAUCUCCGGGCUUAACCCGGAAACUGCCAUUGAUACUAUCAGUCUCGAAUACCGUGGAGGUAAGCGGAAUAUGUCAUGUAGCGGUGAAAUGCUUAGAUAUGACAUAGAACACCAAUUGCGAAGGCAGCUUACUACCCGAAUAUUGACACUGAGGCACGAAAGCGUGGGGAUCAAACAGG